rnacentral:lncRNA from 1 species
AAAAUUUAAAAUAAUAAAUCACGCUAUUAAGAAAGAUAUACUUUAAAUGAUAAAUAAUUAACAAUAAUCUCUAAUGCAAAAAUUACUUUUGAAAUUUAAUAGAAAAAUAACAAUCUGUUAGAAAAUAAAUUUUUGAAAUUAAAUAGAAAAAUAAAAUCCGUUAUCUUAAAAAGAAAAUAUAUUUUGAAAUUAAAUAGAUAAUAUCUAAAAAAGAUAUUUUAAAAUAAAAUAGGAAAAUAUCUUUUAUAGGAUUUUCACACCCGUAAUCUGUUAUAGAAACUUACUUUUGAAAUUAAAUAGAAAAAUUUAUAUUUUAGGAUUUUCACAUCAGUAAUCUGUUAUAGAGAACUUACGUAUUCAUUGCUGUUUCUAUUUCUAUUUUUAUUCUUAUAUUUAAAAUUUUUCGUGCGGAAAGAGAAAAAUUGGCGCUAAUUUUUCGUUGAAAAAUGGGUCUGUCAACAGAUCCAAAUUUGAAUAUACAUGCUUAUAUAUACGUGCUUAUAUAUAUAUAUAUACUAGUUAAGUGCACGUGCAAUGCACGUCACACAAAUACUAAAAAAAAAAUUUAUAAAUAAAUAUUAUAGAUUCCAUAAAUAAUAUUUAAUCAUUACUAAAAUAAAAUGAUAGAAAUAAAAAAUAGAAUUAUAAUAUCAUAAAAGAAAGAACACAAAAUCUAUCAUGGUAUCAUUAAAAAAAAAUACAAAAUUCGUCACUAAACUAAUUGAAAAUGUCACCAUUAGUUCCCCUUCCGUACAAAUUGCAUUGUAAGUAAGAAAAACAAUAAAAUAAAUAUUAGUAAAUCAUCAGAAUAGAUAAAAUUAAAAAAAAUGUAAAUUUAAUAAGAAUUCAUAUAAGUAAAAAAUUUAGCUUAAUUUUAUUUCUUGAGUUUUUGGAAUAGGUGGAUUAAGCACAAUUUUACUUAUAAAAUUUUGCUAAAUUGAUCCUGAUAAAUAAAUUUAAAAUACCACAAAAAAAUAAAAUAUUAAAAAGUACAUUUAUCCUAAUUAUCGAUAUUAAAGUGCACUAUUUUUAUACAACAACUGAAUUGUUUACAAUAGUGUCUCUCCAAAUGCCAAUGUGUGUUAUAGCACUAUCUUGUUCUAGAGUAUGAAUCUAAUUCGAUUCAUGCUUCAAUCCAUCCAAAUAAUUAGUUAUUAAUAAUUUUUUCAUGCCAAUGUGUGUUAGCAUUAUCUUGUCCUAGAAAAUCAAUCUAAUUCAAUUCAUACUUCAAUCCAUCCAAAUAAUUAGUUCUUAAUAAUUUUAUUCAUGUGAAAUGAUAAAAAGAGAAAUAUUUUAAAUUAAAAUUCAAAUUAUCAAAUUCGCGGGUAUUAAAUUUUGGCGGGCAUUACAAAUUUAAAAUUUAAUUUUGGUACUUAGAUUGGUAGGUAUUACGUUUGAGAAAAAAAAUAUUUGAGAAAAUGUUUGGAUAUGUAAUAAAUUUAAUUUUACAUAUUACGUGAUUAGUGGAGAUAUUACGUGAUUGGCGGGUAGGACGUUAGAUAAGAGAUAAAUUUAGUUUUACGUAUUACAUGAUUGUUGGGUAGAAAAAAAUAUUUGAAAAAAAGGAUAUUUUUGUCAACAAAAAUAACAGAUACUUUUAUUUUUAUUCGUUGGAUGAGAUCCAAUGGCGAAAACUUAAGAUCUAUAUUUGAGAAUAAAUUAUUAUUUGAAGAUUUAUUUAAAAUAGAUAAAAUAUAUUUUAUAUUUGAGAACACGGAGAAUAUUUUGGUGUUGAAUAUUUUGGUAAAAAUAUUUAAAAUUAUAUUUAAUUAACGAUUUUGUUUUGAUUGGGCGGGUAUUAAUUUUUUAAAAAAAUAUUCUAUGCUUUUACGACGCAUUAUUUAAAUAUUGAAUAUUUUGUUAAAAAUAUUUAAAAUUAUAUUUAAUUAACGAUUUAGUUUUGAUUUGGGGUAUUAAAAUAUUUUUAACAAUAUUUAACGCUUUUAUGGCGCGCCAAAUUUUAAUACUCGUCAAAAUUAAAUCUACUAUUUUAUUUAAGGAAAAACCUACUAUCAUAAAUUAAAAUUCAAAUUAUCAAAUUCGCGGGUAUUAAAUUUAUGCGGGCAUUACAAAUUUUAAUUUUAAUUUUGAAUACUACAUGUUGGCAGCAAAUAAAUUUAAUUUUACGUAUUACGUGAUUAGCGAAGGUAUUGCAUGAUUGGCGGGUAUUACGUUAGAUAAGAGAUAAAUUUAGUUUUACGUAUGGUGGGUAGAAAAAAAAAUAUAUGAGAAACGCGGCGUAGAUAGGAGAUAACGGAUAUAGAGGGUAUUUUUGUCAACAAAAAUGACAGAUACUUUUAUUUUUAUUCGUUGGAUGAGAUCUAAUGGCGAAAACUUAAUAUCUAUAUUUAAGAAUAAAUUAUUAUUUAAAGAUUUAUUUAAAAUGAGUUGUUGAAAUUUACUGGACAUGACAAUAUUAGUAAAAAAGAUAGAGACAUUUUUGGAAAGAAAAAAAUUUCAAAACUCAUGCUUUUAUAAGUAGUAUAUAUAUAUAUAUAUAUAUAUAUAUGAACUAGGCUAAUAUACUAUUAAUAGUACUAAGUUAUUUGUGCUACCAAGUUUUUAGCCAUUGGAUUAAGAGAUGUACGGUUAGGAUAAUGUGGGCCCCCUAGGGUUGAGUGGGUGGUUGGUUGAAUAGUAUGAUCUAACGGGUGAAAAUAAUUAAAAUGGUAGAUCUAACUGCGAAAAACUUGGUAGCACCAAGUGCUCCAUGCUAUUAAUAGCAUAGUAGCCGGACUCUAUAUAUAUAUAGAACUAGGCUACUAUGCUAUUAAUAGCACCAAGUCGUUGAUGCUACCAAGUUUUUGGCCAUUGGAUUAAGAGAUGUGUGGUUAGGAUGAUGUGGGCUCUCUAGGGUUGAGUGGGUGGUUUGUUGAAUAGUAUGAUCUAAUGGGUGAAAAUGAUCCAAAGGGUAGAUCUGACGGCGAAAAACUUGGUAGCAUCAAGUGCUUCGUGCUAUUAACAGCAUAGUAGCCGGACUCUAUAUAUAUAGUUUGAUAGAGGAAA